rnacentral:rRNA from 1 species
UACGUAGGGUGCAGGCGUUAAUCGGAAUUACUGGGCGUAAAGCGUGCGCAGGCGGUUUGCUAAGAGAGAUGUGAAAUCCCCGGGCUUAACCUGGGAACUGCGUUUCUAACUGGCAGGCUUGAGUGUGGCAGAGGGGGGUGGAAUUCCACGUGUAGCAGUGAAAUGCGUAGAGAUGUGGAGGAACACCGAUGGCGGAGGCAGCCCCCUGGGCUAACACUGACGCUCAUGCACGAAAGCGUGGGGAGCAAACAGG